UGGGGAAUUUUGCACAAUGGGGGAAACCCUGAUGCAGCGACGCCGCGUGAUUUAGAAGGCCUUCGGGUUGUAAAAAUCUUUUCUAUGGGAAGAAAAUGACAGUACCAUAGGAAUAAGGACCGGCUAAUUACGUGCCAGCAGCCGCGGUAAUACGUAAGGUCCGAGCGUUGUCCGGAAUCAUUGGGCGUAAAGGGUACGUAGGCGGGUAAGCAAGUUAGAAGUGAAAUCCUAUAGCUCAACUAUAGUAAGCUUUUAAAACUGCUCAUCUUGAGGUAUGGAAGGGAAAGUGGAAUUCCUAGUGUAGCGGUGAAAUGCGCAGAUAUUAGGAGGAAUACCGGUGGCGAAGGCGACUUUCUGGCCAUACCCUGACGCUGAGGUACGAGAGCGUGGGUAGCAAACAGG
rnacentral:rRNA from 1 species